UACAAAAUGACUCUCGGCAACGGAUAUCUCGGCUCUUGCAUCGAUGAAGAACGCAGCGAAAUGCGAUACUUGGUGUGAAUUGCAGAAUCCCGUGAACCAUCGAGUCUUUGAACGCAAGUUGCGCCCGAAGCCGUUAGGUUGAGGGCACGCCUGCCUGGGUGUCACA
rnacentral:rRNA from 1 species